AACGAACGCUGGCGGCGUGGAUAAGACAUGCAAGUCGAACGGGAACUUCAGCUGUAGCAAUACAGUUGAAGUUUUUAGUGGCGAACGGGUGCGUAACACGUGGGCAAUCUGCCGAGAAGUGGGGGAUAGCUCGCCGAAAGGCGAAUUAAUACCGCAUAUGAUCAGCUAAGACAUCUUAGCGACAUCAAAGCCGGGGCAACCUGGCGCUUUUUGAGGAGCCCGCGGCCUAUCAGCUAGUUGGUGAGGUAACGGCUCACCAAGGCUAUGACGGGUAGCUGGUCUGAGAGGACGACCAGUCACACUGGAACUGAGACACGGUCCAGACACCUACGGGUGCAGCAGUCGAGAAUUUUUCUCAAUGGGGCAACCCUGAAGGAGCGACGCGCGUGGAGGAUGAAGGCUUUCGGUUGUAACU
rnacentral:rRNA from 1 species